GGCUUGGAGCAGCCUGUGAUGGUGGGAGGUGUCCCUGCUCAUGGCAGGGGUGGGACUGGAUGGGGUUUAAGGAUCCUCCCAACCCAAGCCA